AUCACAUUCCAGCCUGGCAACAAAGUAAGACUCUGUCCCCCCGCCCCCCUGCCCCCAAAAAAGUAAUUUUUGUGCCUUCUUUUCUUAUCUGAAUUUUGACUUCAGGGGCCAAAAAUUCAGUUUCUCACAGAUCAAAUACCUAUUUCUAACAAUAUCCAAGGACCUCUUUAACUCAACUCUUUCUGAAGAUGGCAAGAGAAUUGAGGAGGACCAAACCCACACUCAGGACUGAGAAGGAAAAAACCCUACACAUUUUAUUAAGCCUAUUCAUGCAGAACUACAAGCUCUAUCUGUAGCGUGGGGUUCUAAAAUUAAUUCCCGCAGCUAAGUGUGACUAAGAUAACCAUCUCUAUGGCAGCUUUUCCUUGAUUUCUCAUAUUCUGUUAGCUGAACUCUGCUGGUCAGCUUCUGCAGGUGCCAUGCCUUGUGGGCUCAUGGCAAUACGUGCUAAAAUGUUCUUUUAAUAAUUUUUAGAAAGUCCUUGAUUUUUAAUUUCAGUUGCUAAAAUAUCACCAUAAAGACCUCAUUCUCACCAAGGAUGUUGCUAUAAAGGCUUCCUCUCCUCCCUCUGCUUUGCUUAGCUCAGCUCAUUACCUGAUGAGCGGGCAGAGGAAGAUGGGGGUGCGAGUCAGGUGGGAUCAGUAUUUCUUUCUCUAUUUGGGUGAACUCCAGCUCAGUUGGUGCCCAUGUGUCUUUCAUCAACUGCCUCUUUUUCAUCAACUGCCUCUCUCUCUCAUUAUAAACAUUCUGUGUUUCUUCUAUUAUAAAUAUUGCAAGAGAUCUUUAAAACCUGUGGGGUUUGAUUUAUUUGCAUUACCAUUUGAAGAACAACUUCUGGAUUCAGUUCUGAAAUGACAAAUGAUCCAUCUCCUCCCGUCUUUGAGCACUGACGAUCUUCCUUGGUGGAAGCGGCUCCGGGUGUUAAUAUUCCACCAGUUCAAAUCUGUUGAUAGAGAACCCAGGUGUGAGCAGGCUGGCCGCCCCAGGUAUUCCAUUUAGGAGGGAACAGCACACUCAGGACACCUCAAGUCCUGCACCACAAGGUUCCAACAUCCAUCCAGGUUGGCACUCUUUGAGAGGCUCAGGCUGAAGUCACAGUUUCCCCCCUUAUCUUGUGAGACUCACAGACAGGAGCUUCAAGCAUCCAUUGGCUGCCGAGGUAUCUGCUGGUCUUUCUGAUCACCCAUGAGGGCAGAUAUUCCUGUGUAAGAACCUCCUGCCAAGGAGAAACUCUAUCAGCUAAGGCAUAAAGAAAAUAACACUGGAUGAAAUAUGCACCUACUUAAAGGAAUAAGGGGCACUUGGAAUUGUAACUACAUGGGUAAAGAAUAUAAGGUUGUUUUCUUAUUAUUUAAAUAUAUUUAAAAUGUUCCUGACUGUUUAAAUGAAAGUAUGAAUAUAUUAUAGAAUUUAUAACAUACAUGAGUAAAAUGUACAACAAGAAAAACGGAGGUUUGGAAGGGAUACUGUACAAGUUAUGAUUCUAUGGCUUGUGUACUAUACUAAAAGUAGUAUAAAUCACCUAAAGGUAGACUGUGAUGUGUAAAAGAUAUAUAUUAUAAAUCCUAAAGCAACCACUAAAUAACUAAACUAAAAGUCAUGGCAAAAAGGAAAUUAUUUAAAAUUUAAUCAAAAUAAUGCAGAAGAAGAGGAACAAAGAGCAGAUGAACCAAAUAGAAAACAAAUAGCAAAAUAAUAAACCAAAUGGUAGCAAAAAUCCCAAUAAGUGUAAAUGGUCUAAACAACCUAAUUAAAAGACAGAGAUUGUCAGAUUGAAUUGAAAAGCAAGAUUUAGGUAUAUACUGCAGCACUUCUAGUACCUCAAUACACUUGAAUAUAAAGAUACAAGUAGAUUAAAAUGACAAGAUUAGAAACAGUUAUAAAAGAAAGCUGGAGUGACUAUAUUAUCAUUCAAAUUAUAUUUCAGAGAGGAAAUACAUAUUACCAGAAAUAAAGAAUAUUUUUUCAGAACAAUAAAGGAGUGAAUUUAUCAAUAGGUAUAAUAGUUAUAAUGGUUCACUUACCUAACAAAAAGCUUCAAAAAAUGUAUGCAAAAGCUGAAAGAAUUGCAAGAAGAAAUAGACUAAUUAGCAAUCAUUGUUGGAGAUUUCAAUUCUUCCUCUUUUAAAAGCUGAGAGAAGUAGAUGUGAAAUCAGCAAGAAUAUAUUCAUCUUCCAAAUUAUCUGAUUUUAUGGACAAAAUCAUGUGGAUAUUAGGACUUUAUAGAUUAACUAGUGUUUUCUUUAACUGUGGAGGCUUUGUCUUGUACCAGAACAAUUUUUUUCCCCUGACUCCAACAAAGAGCAUUUAUGGAGGGAGAAUGCAAAGAGAACAUAUUUGUAUCCAACCUUCCCAGGAGCAUGUGAGGUUCACUGGCACAUGAAGUAGCCCAGGGGUUUCAUUCUGUCCUCAUACAAAAAACCUGUUGCUAAUUAAAGAUUUAAGAAAUACAGCUGGAUAAGUAACAUUAGCCCAGAUGGCAUUUCAGGAAACCUCUGGUGAGGCUUGAGGCAGACAGUAAUUCUGCAUGAUUUAUCACCCAGGUGGCGGUGUGGGGUGAUUGGCUCAGUAUACUUCAGGUGGAAAAAGACAUUCAAGAAUAGGACACUCAAGGUCAAGUAGGGCUUAUAAACCCCAUGAAAUCAUUCAGGAGCAAAAUAACCUUUAGAUCUAACUCCUUUUGUCUGUGUCAUGGUGUGUUUGUUCAGUUUAGUAAUUAAGAAAUAGGGACUCCUAUUCAUUAAGUGUCAUGUAGAUUUUUAUAGAAUUUUUACCUCUUUAUAUUAUAAUCAAAUAAAUUAAAUGCAUGCUUUAAGUUUUACUGUGUAAAAUUCACCAUGUUAGAUUUGUAGGAGAUGCAUUGGUGAAAUAUUUCCCAGAAUAUGUUCCACAGAACUCUUAAUUUUAUAGUGAAUGAUGGGUAAUGUGUUAAGGAAAAAAAAGGGGAGUUUGUAGCUCAGGAAGUUCUGUAUAAAGGUCACUUAGGGUUUGAUUUUUUUAAAUUAAAAUUGUAGAACUACCAGAACUUGUAAUAAUUUAGGGAAUAAAAUGACUGUCUAUCCAAGUCUGGAUGGAUUGAUUUUGACAUGAGAAUUUCAUAAUACAUUUCUGGGAUUCUUCCCUCUUGAUAGAGGGACAAAUAUAAUAGAUGACUUCCUUUAACUUCUGGUCAAUGAGUGGAAGCUUCAUCUUGGCUGAUGCUGUGGUUUAGAGAGUCCCUUAUUGUGAACAGCUCAACAAAAAUCAGUGUCUUAGUCCAUUUUGUAUUGUAAUAAAGGAAUACCCGAGGCUGGUUAGUUUAUAAAGAAAAAGAGGUUUAUUUGGCAUACAGUUUUGCACACUGUACAAGGAGUGUGGAGCCAGCAUCUGGUUCUGGUGAACACCUCAGGAAGGUACUGAUCAUGGUGGAAGGCGAAGCAGAGCCAGCAUGUCACAUGGUAAGAGAGGAUACGUGAGAGAGGAGGGAGGUGCCAGGCUCUUCCACAAUCAGUUCUUCCUUGAACUAAUAGAGUGUGAAGUCGCUCGUUACCACAAGGACAAUACCAAGAUGUUCAUGAGGGAUCUAUUCCUAUGAUCCAAAUACGUUCCACUAGGCCCCACCUCCAACAUUGGGAAUCAAAGUUAAACAUGAGAUUUGGAGGGGAUAAAUAUCCAAACUAUAGCAAUGAGUUUACAGUAAUGUGACCUAAAGCUUUGGCAAUUUGAGUAAUCUUCCUUGGUAAAAACAUUUAUAAAUAAUAAUACAUUUUUAGAACAUUAGAGAUUUAGGUCUCAGUCUUUUUCAGAGCUAUCUUUGGGCAAUUGACCAAGUAUGCUUACAUAGAAAUACUCUCUCACUGCAAAUCGUCCUGUCCUCCACCCCACACACAUACAUACCUGAGAAUAUUCCCGGCAACUCUGAGUACUAAUGGGGUGGAAGGAGGCAAGAAAUUGAAGGACCCUCAGAUUUCAGUUGCUUCAGGCUAAAUACGUUUUAGUUGAUGCCUCUGAUCUCACACUGCUCCCUAGGGGAGGACCCUAAUUCCCAUGUCAUUAAUAAAAGCAACACAGUUAAGUUUCUAAUAUGAAAAGAUAAAGUUUUAAAAUUACUGAAAAUAUCUUUAAAUUUGUAACAGUUGACAAGAUGUCCUUCAUUUGAAAUAAAUCAUAACCUAUUCUAUUAUAGUCUUAUGAAUUUCCUAGAAAAACAUAGAAGCAUAUGUAUAGUUGAAAAAUUGGUAACCCUCUGAUAUGGUUUGGAUCUAUGUCCCCACCCAAAUGUCCUGAAUUGUAAUUCCUAUUGUUGGAGCUGGGUCCUGGCAGGAGGAGAUCGGAUCAUGGGGACAGAUUUCUCAUGAAUGGUGUAGCAUCAUCCCCCUGGUGCUGUCCUUGGAUAGUGAGUGAUUUCUUACCAGAUCUGGUUGUUUAAAAGUGUGCGGCACCCCUCUCCUCAUUCUGUCCCUCUCUUUCUUGCUCCUGCUUUUGCUGUGUAAUGUGCCUGCCCCAACUUUGCCUUUGACCAUGAGUAACAGCUUCCUGAGGCCUCCCCAGAAGCUGAGCAAUGUUGGUGCCAUGCUUGUACAGCCUGCAGAACUGUGAGUCAAUUAAACUUCUUUUCUUAUUGAUUACCCAGUCAAAGGUAUUUCUUUUUAGUAACGCAAAAAUGGUCUAAUACACCCUCUAAUCAGGCCAACUGGUUGUCUGGAAAUGGCCUAUGUCUCUCCUGCCAUGGUGGGGGCUAUCGAAUUUUGGAUUUAAAUUCACAAAAAAAAGCAAUGUGUAUUUCCCCUUUGCACAAUGUUUAGCAUAGUGCUAGACUAAAUAAGUGUUAAAAAUAUUGCAGAAGAGGCUGCUUUUUAUCCAAGAAUAUAUCAAACACAUGGUAUAGAGUUACAGAAUAAAUGAAGUGCUAAUAAUUUAGUUAUAUUUAGCUGAAAUCGAUUUGAUGUUAACUGACUAAAAUCUAAUUGUCUCUAAAGGAAGUCAAUGAGAAUAAUUAAGGAAGACUCUGGGUGUUGAAUUUCAGACUACAGUGGAGAUUAGAAAAAAAAAAUAAAAAAACGAAACCCAUGCCUUAGAUGACAAACAAAUGAUAACUCCCUCUAAGUAUUGGGGCAAGUAGGAGUGGACAUCCAAGGGAGUGUAACUGGGAAAGACAAAAUAAAAUUAUGCAAAGGAAAAUUGAGCAAACGAAAAUUAAAGCAAUCUUAACAGUGAGGGCUAUGAAACCGUUGAAAAUUCUCCCAAGGGAAGUGAUGGAAACCUCCUUGCUUGAGUCAUUUCAAAGUCGACAAAACAACGAAAAAUACAUGGAGGGAGGGAUCCUGUAGUGUUGGGGAGCAGACUCGAUGAUUUCAUAGUUCUUUUCUGUCUCUGAUUUCCAUGUUCUGUGAAAUAGUAUUGCAGCUAAGAAACAUGAAAUCCUUCACUCCGACAGUAUGUUCACAGAAAAUUCAUCUGAAGCACAAAGUUGAAAAGAAAAAAGAAAAAAAAAACAUGCAUUUGAAAAUUCUGUCAGUCCUUCACAUUCUUUUUAUAAACUUGUUUUUCAGAUACAGUGUAACAUUGGAAUUUAAAUUGAGUUUCGUGUUCCUUCCACCUCACAUGUAAAAACAUCUAUGACUUUAAUUAAUGAAGAAUUCUAAAGUCAACUUGCAUGUGUCCCAGUGUGUAAUGGAAUACUAGGAAAAUUAAAGUUUGAUGAUUUCUUGAACAGCCCAUGCCAACAUCCAAAACAAGUACAGCUUAGAAAACACACAUUAAACACCAAAAACUAAUUUUAGCACAAAAGGAAAAGAAAGAUACAAUGACAGUAGAAAUCUAAGGAAAAGUAUAUAAAUGCAUAUAUUUUUAAAAAGUAUGCUUGAAUUUCCUUGCUGUAUAAUUCUUUCUGAGACAUGUUAGAGCUGCUCUUAUUAGCCAAGGGAAUACUUGUGGGAAGAAACCUGCCUACAUGCUGAAAACAAGCUCACUAAAAUCAAUAUUGGGUUUUGACUUGAAGGUGUUUACUAUGAAGAACUCAGUGUGAUUCCUCAAUCAAGGACAAAUUUAUCAUUACUUUUUAAUUGUUACCUUAAACUACUGUAUUACAAAUUAUUGACAUUGUACCAGAAAUUAUACUAAGCUAUUUACAAAUGUAAAACUUUUAUUUACCAAUAUAUUGAGCCCAUAUUCUACACAAUAAAAUUUUUAAAAAAUUAA